rnacentral:lncRNA from 1 species
AAAGGCAGUUAAAAUUUACCCUGACAAAAAGAGUUGCUUAACAUUACCGCAUCAAAGCAUAAAGCGAAGUAUAAACAGGUGCGAGCAGUUGCAUUCUGCUGAACGUUCAGGCCUGCCACCAGACCCUUCGCCAUCGCGCUGCUACGCUCGCUUACGAGCGCCUGCAGGACCGGGGCCUUCGUGUUCAGCAGCAGCACUACUCGGCCUACCAAAACGUCUUUCAAGCACGUCCCCAGCACGUAAGCUGCAGCAUCAAGUGGCAUGGGUUUACGACUGCAGCUACAACUCAGUUAUCCAUCCCAGAACUCACUGCCUGCCCAGGACGCAAGCUGCAUGCCCACCUACACAAAGACAACUUCCCAGGUCGUCCCAAAACUUGUUCAUUUAAGCCCCAGUGCAAGAAAGCAGGCAGUUUCAGGUUCAGGAGCAGGUAUUUGAUAGCAAUCACCACUCAUACUACUUGCAUUGCCCGAUACAACGCAUAGAAGCGUGCAGCAAUCCUUCCACCAACAGCCUUGGCUGCUAGGAUCGAAUCUAAAGCGUAGCUUUUGGAAAAAGCACCGCCAAGUGCACGAACAUACCUGCGCUCUCCAACAGAGAGGCAUUUUGCCUGGGGAUCACGGCACGAGACUAUGGAUGCAACCCUACUUCUCCAGAAUACAACGUGGGGCUUUCUGUCCCCGGUGGCCGAAGGCCCCUCCGCUGCGCAAAACUUCCCGCAGAUACUGGAGCCUACAUCUCUAGCGCUGCACAGAGCUCCCCGAGACGCAUUAGAACUUGCUGAACAGGACGUAAUUAUGACUGAAGCAUUCCAGAACAGACCAAGACAACUUCAAAAAAAAAAAAAAAAGAUUCAGCUUCAAACAGCCUUCCCUGGCUACCCGUACAGUCUAAAGCAGGCACACCACGAUUAACUUAUCGCCGACCCUUCGACGAGAUUCAGGAAUCUCUGAGAACAGAGGUGCAAGUCAAACACACUACACGAUCCUAUGAAGGCACUGCCUCGGCGAUUAAAACGGAACGCUUCAAGACUUGAGUACACGCACACACGCGCUUAUGCACACACGUGCGUACUCGCGACGGGCGCACGCUUGCUGGAAACGAGAAAUUUUGCUGCGUUUUAUCACCUACGAGCCCCCUCGGACAAGGGAAGCAGGGCGAAGACGCUACGCGACGCGGAGACGAGUCGCAGCUACCGCCGGGCUGCCGGGCAUUUCAUCACAACUUGAGCGCCUGAGCGGGUCUGCAGAUUCUUUUUUUUUUUUUUUUUAAAUUUUAAAUAGGGAAAGAGCUCGGAACAGGUCGAACCGAGCGCCUUAAACCCGUCUCACCGCACUCAGAGACGGGAGGGGGGGAAUAGAAGGAGAUGGGGGGGGAACAGAAGGAGAAUAAUACUAAUACAUAUAUUAAAAAAGCAGGAUAGGGAUGUGGCGUUGAGGGUGGUUUUUUUUUUUUUUUUCGCUCCGCAGCACAGCCCCGGAGACGCAGAGCGGGGUGGCA